ACAGGGCUGGCAGCGCCGCGGGCAGGGAGCUGUGCCGCUGGGGCAGCGACAGGCUCUGUGUUCUCAGGGAUGGCCGGGCAGCACAUCAGGGGAAACAAGCGAGAGCUCCAGUACAUCUGCCAGGCCCUUGAACACAAGGCAGAGGACAUCAGCCCUGGCAUCGGAAGCCAGGCUCUCGAAACAGCCUAUCUCCUGUGGGCAGUAGAGAGAGCUUCGGGCUCCAUCUUGCAGAAGCUGCAACAUCAGUUUUGCAGGGCAUGCAAGAAAUAGCCUUGUCUGUGGGGCCGUGGCUGGCUCUGCUGCUGCAGCUCUGAGGAGAGCUGAGUGGAGAGGCGCCCUGUGAGCUGGGACCACCUGAGCCAGCAGGCAUUUUCCUUUUCUCUACAAUUUUUCUUUCCUUAUUUCUCGUUUUUCUUUAGGACAUAAAUAUAGCAUGUGUUCAAAUACCCAGA